GGGCCAGUAGCUCAGUUGAUAGAGCGCGUCGUUCGCAACGACGAGGUCGUCGGUUUGAUCCCGAUCUGGUCCACCA
rnacentral:tRNA from 1 species